CACCAUGCCCGGCAAAUAUUUUUGGAUUUUUAGUAGAGCUAGGGUUUCACCAUGUUAGCCAGGUUGGUCUCGAACUCCUGGCCUCAGGUGAUCCACCUGCCUCAGCUUCCCAAAGUGCUGGGAUUACAGGCGUGAGCCACCACGCUCAGCCAGUUUGUUUGUUUUUGAGACAAGUUCUUGCCCUGUUGCCCAGGCUGGAGUGCAGUGGUGCAGUCAUGGUUCACUGCAGCCUCCAACUCCCAGGCUCAAGGGAUCCUCCUACUUCAGCCUCCUGAGUAACUGGGGCUACAGGUGCAUGUCACCAUGCCCAGCCAGCUCUUCACCCUCCUGGGUGGGGCUGGUGGGGUGGUGAUGCCUGCCCUGCUUUCGGGCCCCCAGCAGCAGCCGGUCUGUGCCCUGGCUGCCUGCCACCAACCUGCAUUCCUGCCCCACAGGCUGCAGCCCCGUACGGAGAGCCUUCUGCGAGCCCUGGUUGCAGAGAAGGCUGACUGCCAUGAAGCCUUGCUGGCUGCUUGGAAGAAAAACCCCAAAUACCUGCUGGCUGAGUACUGUGAGUGGCUUCCACAGGCCAUGCACCCCGAUAUCGAGAAAGCCUGGCCCCCCACCACUGUCCACUGACCAGAAACCUGGCUGCAGGGCCGAGGACUGGUUUGGGGACUGGAGGGCUGGCAGCAGCCUGUCACCGUGUGACCGUGACCACCUGGCAUGGGCUUCGUGGCCUGCUCUCAGGAAGUGGGUCAAGCCCUGGGAACCCUCAUCCAUGAGAGCUCGAUCCCGUAUGAAGGGUGCUGCCGCCCGUGCCAUCUGGCCUGGGGGUGA
rnacentral:sRNA from 1 species